UUCUCCGUAAUCAGGAAUGCGCGGUGUGUCAGAGUCUCUCAAACUCGCAGCACGAAGACUUCUUCGGGUUGUGAGGUUAAGCGAACAAGCGUACACGGUGGAUGCCCUGGCAGUCAGAGGCGAUGAAGGACGUGCUAAUCUGCGAAAAGCGCCGGUAAGGUGAUAUGAACCGUUAUAACCGGCGAUUUCCGAACGGGGGGUACCCAAA
rnacentral:rRNA from 1 species